GGGGAGCAAACAGGAUUAGAUACCCUGGUAGUCCACGCUGUAAACGAUGAGUACUAGGUGUCGGGGGUUACCCCCUUCGGGGCCGCAGCUAACGCAUUAAGUACUCCGCCUGGGAAGUACGCUCGAAAGAGUGAAACUCAAAGGAAUGGACGGGGACCCGCACAAGUAGCGGAGCAUGUGGUUUAAUUCGAAGCAACGCGAAGAACCUUACCUAAGCUUGACAUCCCAAUGACAUCUCCUUAAUCGG
rnacentral:rRNA from 1 species